GGACUGUGGCUAUGUUCAGGAGGGAACCACAACCCUCCCGGUUUCCCCUCGUCUUCUCUUCGGCCAAGCCCUGCCCGGGAGAUUGGUGCACCACAGGGCUGCUGGAAAUAGAAACUAGGCACUCGGCGGCAAGGUGGCCCCUCAGGAUUGAAGACGGCUCGUUCUACUCCGGUUCUGAUGUGGGAUCUGCCACAAAUUUCUCAGCAGCAGUUGAGGGGAGACCUGAUGGCAGUUCAUAAGAUUAUGAGAAGUAGACAGCUGUAUCUUUUCUUUCUCAGGGUCAAAAUACCUUAUGCAUUUAAGAUAAUUCAUCCAGCAUUUCAAGUUCAGUUUCCUGUAUUACAACCGAAAGAUGUCAUUGGCUGUAAAAUCCUUUGGGGUAUCCUGAAAGUGAUGAGGAAGGUGUAAUUACUUUCAACAACAUUCUUGGACUUAUGGGUGAAAACAAGAACUUUUUUUAAAUUAUUUUGUGUCAAAAUUUUUAAGAAAUGAAAUGUGUGCAUCAGUUGUUGCUUUCAUCAUCAGGUUUGGUGGUAAUUGAACUAAUUGCACCAGAAGGACUGUACACCCUGAUUAAAGUGCAUAUCUUUAGUGAUAACAGUAUUAUCAUCCGUGCUAAUGGAACUGCCCUGUGUCUAAAAAAUAAGGAUUACUUUUUAAUGGAAUGAAGGUGAAAUAAUUGUGCUCUGUGACAUUAGUCAAUUGCAUUGCCUGAAGGUAUAUUUUAGUUUGCAAAUAAAUUCUAACAGUA